AAUUCGCAAUUAGGAGAUAAAGACAAGAAAAGACCCAUACACGAACAAAGAAAAAUAACGUCGACGUAAUGUGCGUGUGUGUGGGGGGGGAGGGGGGGGGGUAGCUUUAGUGCGUAGGCGCCACGGAUGGCGUAUCGUGCAUGCUGCUGACACGGGCCAGUAGUAUCUUUCGAAGAUUUCUACCUCCGGCACAC
rfam:Glossina pallidipes unplaced genomic scaffold Scaffold2, whole genome shotgun sequence.